UACGGGGGGGGCAAGCGUUGUUCGGAAUUACUGGGCGUAAAGGGCUCGUAGGUGGCCAACUAAGUCAUACGUGAAAUCCCUCGGCUUAACCGGGGAACUGCGUCUGAUACUGGAUGGCUUGAGGUUGGGAGAGGGAUGCGGAAUUCCAGGUGUAGCGGUGAAAUGCGUAGAUAUCUGGAGGAACACCGGUGGCGAAGGCGGCAUCCUGGACCGGCAUUGACGCUGAGGCGCGAAAGCCAGGGGAGCAAACGGG
rnacentral:rRNA from 1 species